GAUGAACGCUGGCGGCGUGCUUAACACAUGCAAGUCGAACGGGAUCCCAGGAGCUUGCUCCUGGGUGAGAGUGGCGAACGGGUGAGUAAUGCGUGACCGACCUGCCCCAUACACCGGAAUGGCUCCUGGAAACGGGUGGUAAUGCCGGAUGCUCCAGUUGACCGCAUGGUCCUCUGGGAAAGCUUUUGCGGUAUGGGAUGGGGUCGCGUCCUAUCAGCUUGAUGGCGGGGUAACGGCCCACCAUGGCUUCGACGGGUAGCCGGCCUGAGAGGGCGACCGGCCACAUUGGGACUGAGAUACGGCCCAGACUCCUACGGGAGGCAGCAGUGGGGAAUAUUGCACAAUGGGCGCAAGCCUGAUGCAGCGACGCCGCGUGCGGGAUGACGGCCUUCGGGUUGUAAACCGCUUUUGACUGGGAGCAAGCCCUUCGGGGUGAGUGUACCUUUCGAAUAAGCACCGG
rnacentral:rRNA from 1 species